UACGUAGGCAGCAAACGUUGUUCGGAAUUACUGGGCGUAAAGAGUGUGUAGGCGGUUUUGUAAGUUUGGUGUGAAAUCUCCCGGCUUAACUGGGAGGGUGCGCCGAAAACUGCAAGGCUUGAGUGCUGGAGAGGAGAGCGGAAUUCCUGGUGUAGCGGCGAAAUGCGUAGAUAUCAGGAGGAACACCGGCGGUGUAGACGGCUCUCUGGACAGUAACUGACGCUGAGACACGAAAGCGUGGGGAGCAAACAGG
rnacentral:rRNA from 1 species